rnacentral:pre_miRNA from 1 species
GUUGUGCUCUCUCCGUCCAAUAAAAGAUGUCUCAAGUUUUUCAAAAUUUGGAUAUCUAGAGAUGACUUAGUGUAUAGAUGCAUUUAAAUUUAAUCAAAUUUAAGAUAUUUUUUAUUGGACGGGGAAGUAGUAU